ACACGCCCCCAGAGUCACUUUAAUGGACAAGUGGCGCCAUCCCACGCCAAGUGAACAAAACGCUGCCGGAGAAGCGCAGGAAAAAUGGAUGCGACUGUCUUCUACGGAGCGAACUGUAAGUGCUUCUUGCUUUCUUUUAUUUUUUACUCUUAAGAGCGUACGCUGAGGGACGCAUUGACAUUUAUUUAUUAUAAUAAGGUCCCAGGAAUGCGAUAUAACCGUUGUCAUUCUUAUCGUCAACAUAUUCAGCCUUGCAUGUGCUUCCGAAUAUUGGCGUCCUCCCCCGGGGACAUGGCGCCUCAAACCCGCCUUUGCGAACACGCUCCUUUUCUCAGUGCGCGGCGUCGCUUCCUCAUUGACAUGAAGAAAACGUCUCAUUUUUCCAGGUAUUUCCAAGCAUGGUUUGGAAAGAAAGAAGCUGGAUGAUGACACAGCUGAAAAAAUAUUUCGAAGAAUUGAAAACGGCGAUAUUUCUGACGCAGAUCUCUCUGAUGACGAGCACAGCGAGCAAGAGACACGGCAUACGACUUCUGCUACAGAUAGUACUGUGCAGCGUGCAGGAGCAUCGCCUGGAGCACCUUGCACGCAGGACAAGCAAGUGCCAGAUGCAUCAUCGAAGAAGAUGAAUGCGUUGAAUUGGGUGGCCCAAGCUUUUCAGCCUAAGAACACCGAUUGCACCUACAAGCCUCAAGGUGGAUCAGUACCUGAAGAGCCCAUGGCAUACUUCACUCGGUAUUUUUCACCCACGCUUUUUAGUGAUCUAGCAACAUUCACUAACAUGUACGUGCUCCAGACAGAUGGAAAUGUGCUAGGAACUUCUGCAGAAGAAAUCAAAGUUUUUUGUGGAAUUCUCAUGCUGAUGGGAAUUCUAAAAUUCCCGAGAAUUCGCAUGUAUUGGCAAGCCUCGACAAGAAUUCCAGCAAUAGCGGAAUCUAUGACGGCAAAGCGAUUUUUUAGAAUUAGAGCCGCACUGCACAUUACGGACUCAAACGCUCCUCGUGACCCAGCCAGCCAGGACAAGUUCUGGAAAGUGCGCCCUGUCAUAGAAGCCAUCAGGUCACGAUGCUUGCAGCUGGAACCCUUGGAGCACAAUAGUAUAGAUGAGCAAAUGAUUCCUUUCACAGGCCGUGUCCCUGCAAAACAGUUUGUGAAGGGAAAGCCAAAUCCAGAAGGGGUGAAGGUGUUCCUCCGCUGCAGCGCCGAUGGCUUAGCUCGUGACCUUGAGCUGUACCAGGGUAAGGGAACAGGAGUCAGUGCGCAACAUGCACAUCUCGGACUUGGCGGGUCAGUCGUCAUGCGUCUUGUCGAGGCAAUGCCUAAGGGAAAGAACCUGAAGUGCUUCAUGGACAACUAUUUCACCUCAGUGCCACUCAUCCUGCAGCUGAAGGAAAUGGGCAUUCUUGCCAGCGGUACGAUACGAGCCAACCGCCUGCUGAAGUGCUGCUUAAAAAGCGAGAAAGAACUGAAGAAAGAAGGUCGGGGAAGCAUGGAUGAGAAGGUUUCCACGAAAGGAGACAUUGCUAUUGUGAGAUGGCAAGAUAACGGAGUCGUAAACAUGGCAUCCACACAAAUUGGAAUUGGUAAUGUUGGAAAAGUGAAACGAUGGAGCGAGGCAACAAAGCAGCAUAUAGAAAUUGACUGCCCAGAAGUGAUUUUAAAGUACAACUUGUACAUGGGAGGGGUCGAUAAACUCGACUUCCUAAUGUCGCUGUACCCCCUUACGGCAAGAACCAGAAAGUGGCCAGUGAGGGCCAUGUCUCACUUUCUGUCUUUUGCGUUGUGCAACAGCUGGAUAGAAUACCUGAGAGACGCAAGUGCCGAGAACCUUGCACAGAAAAGUACUUUGGACAUGAUGGCCUUCCAAACAGACAUUGCUAACAGCCUAAUCGCAUGCAGCAGAGCUCCUCCAAAAAAGCGUGGUCGGCCAAGCACUGAAUACCCCGAGCCUGUUGCGAAGAAGGCAAGACCGCAUUUGCUACCGACCGUAACCAUCAGGUAUGAUGGCUACAAUCACUGGCCGGAGUAUGUCAGCACACCGAACUCGCAACGCUGUCGCCGUGAGGGAUGCAAAGCGAAGUGCCGGAUUCGCUGUCAAAAAUGUCACGUGUUUUUGUGCGUGUCGGCACAGAACAAUUGUUUUUACCUUUUUCACGCCAAGUAGGCUUUGCUUUAAUUUACCAAUCAAAUCAUAAUCCAUUAUUGGCAUUCUGUUCCAAAUAUCUUGCUAAGAACACUACCGUACGUUCUGUUAUUGCUGUGCUUUAUUUUUUCUGUAUUGAGGCGCCCUGUCCCCGAACGGGGACAGCGCAAUAUACAAUGAAAGAAUAAAAUUUUUGUUGUAGUU